ACCGCCACGGAUGGCGGUGGUUCCACGCAGAAAUGAGUUUUAAAACUACCUCUUUUUUAUGAUAGGAGUUUUUAAACUCAUAGGUUAGUUUUUGACAUGGACGUCAAAAACUAACCGUUG
rnacentral:sRNA from 1 species